CCCCGUGCGGAGCCGCUGUCCUAUGGCCAGCUCCAGGUGGAGAAGGGGAAGUCCUUCGAAGACCAGCGCGAUCAGAGUACAUGAUGGGGAAUAUUCAGCCCACUCACCUCCUCCGUAGACUUGGCACAGGUACGGAAACCUCCAGACGUUGCCCAGCCCCACAGCAAAUCCAAUACAAGUGAGCAGUUUGAAGGAGUCUCUGAAGUGUCUCAAACCUUGGAAUACCUGCUGAUUAUUUCCCUUCGUCUGAGUGGGGUGGAGUCUCAGAUCUACAUC